AUGUCUAGCUCGACUUCAGCCUCCCGCCAAUCAUGGACACAGUAUGGUCCACUACCGUUGACAAGAUGCCCCAAUUGCCCGCGCAUGGAACCUCUGAAGCGUUUGACUUUUGUGAGGGAAGAAAAUGGAAACUGUGGGCGCGAGUUUGUGAAAUGCUUGAGCAAGCCACAGCCGGGGCAGGUUCUGAAAAAAUGUGGGCAUUUUGAGUGGCUCGAUGACUAUGUUGAAAGGUUGAAAUUGGAGGGAUCAACCGGAACCCAAGAGCUCAAUUUUGGGGGCGGCUUGUCGUGGAACAAGCCCCCAAUUUGGCAGACAGAGCCGAUCCGAUGA
rnacentral:rRNA from 1 species